rnacentral:rRNA from 1 species
CCUACGGGAGGCAGCAGUGGGGAAUCUUGGACAAUGGGCGAAAGCCUGAUCCAGCGACGCCGCGUGGAGGACGAAGGCCUUCGGGUUGUAAACUCCUUUUAGAGGGGAAAAGGGAGGAUGGUACCCUCUGAAUAAGCCACGGCUAACUCUGUGCCAGCAGCCGCGGUAAGACAGAGGUGGCGAGCGUUGCUCGGAAUCACUGGGCUUAAAGGGCGUGUAGGCGGUUAUGCAAGUGCUGGGUGGAAUGCUAUGGCUUAACCAUAGAGCUGCCCUGCAGACUGCAUGACUUGAGUGAGCGAGGGGAGGGCGGAAUUCCCGGUGUAGCGGUGAAAUGCGUAGAUAUCGGGAGGAAGGCCUGUGGCGAAGGCGGCCCUCUGGCGCUUGACUGACGCUGAGGCGCGAAAGCGUGGGGAGCGAACAGGAUUAGAUACCCCAGUAGU